CAGUCGCCGCGGUAAUACGUAGGUGGCAAGCGUUGUCCGGAAUUAUUGGGCGUAAAGGGCUCGCAGGCGGUUUCUUAAGUCUGAUGUGAAAGCCCCCGGCUCAACCGGGGAGGGUCAUUGGAAACUGGGAAACUUGAGUGCAGAAGAGUAGAGUGGAAUUCCACGUGUAGCGGUGAAAUGCGUAGAGAUGUGGAGGAACACCAGUGGCGAAGGCGACUCUCUGGUCUGUAACUGACGCUGAGGAGCGAAAGCGUGGGGAGCGAACAGGAUUAGAUACCCGUGUAGUCCCUGUCUCUUAUAC
rnacentral:rRNA from 1 species